rnacentral:rRNA from 1 species
UACCAGACUCCUACGGGAGGCAGCAGUGGGGAAUAUUGCACAAUGGGGGAAACCCUGAUGCAGCGACGCCGCGUGAGCGAUGAAGUAUUUCGGUAUGUAAAGCUCUAUCAGCAGGGAAGAAGAUGACGGUACCUGACUAAGAAGCCCCGGCUAACUACGUGCCAGCAGCCGCGGUAAUACGUAGGGGGCAAGCGUUAUCCGGAUUUACUGGGUGUAAAGGGAGCGUAGACGGCGGUGCAAGCCAGAUGUGAAAGCCCGGGGCUCAACCCCGGGACUGCAUUUGGAACUGUAUGGCUGGAGUGUCGGAGAGGCAGGCGGAAUUCCUAGUGUAGCGGUGAAAUGCGUAGAUAUUAGGAGGAACACCAGUGGCGAAGGCGGCCUGCUGGACGAUGACUGACGUUGAGGCUCGAAAGCGUGGGGAGCAAGCAGGAUUAGAUACCCCUGUAU